rnacentral:rRNA from 1 species
CUUCCGCAAUGGACGAAAGUCUGACGGAGCACGCCGCGUGAGUGAUGAAGGCUUUCGGGUCGUAAAACUCUGUUGUUAGGGAAGAACAAGUGCUAGUUGAAUAAGCUGGCACCUUGACGGUACCUAACCAGAAAGCCACGGCUAACUACGUGCCAGCAGCCGCGGUAAUACGUAGGUGGCAAGCGUUAUCCGGAAUUAUUGGGCGUAAAGCGCGCGCAGGUGGUUUCUUAAGUCUGAUGUGAAAGCCCACGGCUCAACCGUGGAGGGUCAUUGGAAACUGGGAGACUUGAGUGCAGAAGAGGAAAGUGGAAUUCCAUGUGUAGCGGUGAAAUGCGUAGAGAUAUGGAGGAACACCAGUGGCGAAGGCGACUUUCUGGUCUGUAACUGACACUGAGGCGCGAAAGCGUGGGGAGCAAACAGGAUUAGAUACCCUGGUAGUCCACGCCGUAAACGAUGAGUGCUAAGUGUUAGAGGGUUUCCCCCCUUUGUGCUGAAGUUAACGCAUUAAGCACUCCGCCUGGGGAAGUCCGGCCGCAANGGCUUAAAACUCAAAGGAAUGACGGGGCCCGCNCAAGCGGUGGAGCAUGUGGUUNAUUNGAAGCAACGCGAAGACCUUACCAGGUCUUGACAUNCUNUGAAAACCCUAGAGAUAGGGCUUNUCCUUCGGGAGCAGAGUGACAGGUGGUGCAUGGUUGUCGUCAGCUCGUGUCGUGAGAUGUUGGGUUAAGUCCCGCAACGAGCGCAACCCUUGAUCUUAGUUGCCAUCAUUAAGUUGGGCACUCUAAGGUGACUGCCGGUGACAAACCGGAGGAAGGUGGGGAUGACGUCAAAUCAUCAUGCCCCUUAUGACCUGGGCUACACACGUGCUACAAUGGACGGUACAAAGAGCUGCAAGACCGCGAGGUGGAGCUAAUCUCAUAAAACCGUUCUCAGUUCGGAUUGUAGGCUGCAACUCGCCUACAUGAAGCUGGAAUCGCUAGUAAUUCGCGGAUUCAGCAUGCCGCGG